rnacentral:misc_RNA from 1 species
GAUGAAGAACGUAGCAAAAUGCGAUAAGUAAUGUGAAUUGCAGAAUUCAGUGAAUCAUCGAAUCUUUGAACGCACAUUGCGCCCGCCAGUACUCUGGCGGGCAUGCCUGUCCGAGCGUCAUUUCAACCCUCAGGGCCCUCCAGCAGGGCGCUGGUGUUGGGGAUCGGCAGUCCCAGCGGCUGCCGUCCCUGAAAUGUAGUGGCGGUCCCACCGUGACCUCCCCUGUGCAGUACAUCGCUCGCAGAGGGACAGCGGUGCGGCCACGCCGUAAAACGCCCAACUCUUCAAGGUUGACCUCGGAUCAGGUAGGACUACCCGCUGAACUUAAGCAUAUCAAUAAGCGGAGGA